rnacentral:rRNA from 1 species
UAUCGCAUGAUAGAGCAGUCAAAACUACGGUGCCACAGGAUGAGCUCGCGUCUCAUUAGCUAGUUGGUGGGGUAAAGGCCUACCAAGGCGACGAUGAGUAGCCGACCUGAGAGGGUGAUCGGCCACACUGGAACUGAGACACGGUCCAGACUCCUACGGGAGGCAGCAGUGGGGAAUAUUGCGCAAUGGGGGAAACCCUGACGCAGCAACGCCGCGUGAGUGAUGAAGGCUUUCGAGUCGUAAAACUCUGUCUUUGGGGACGAAUAAUGACGGUACCCAAGGAGGAAGCCCCGGCUAACUACGUGCCAGCAGCCGCGGUAAUACGUAGGGGGCAAGCGUUGUCCGGAAUCACUGGGCGUAAAGGGCGCGUAGGCGGUUUGUUAAGUCAGGUGUGAAAGUUUUCAGCUUAACUGGAAAAGUGCACUUGAAACUAACUUACUUGAGUACUGGAGAGGUAAGCGGAAUUCCUAGUGUAGCGGUGAAAUGCGUAGAUAUUAGGAAGAACACCGGUGGCGAAGGCGGCUUACUGGACAGAGACUGACGCUGAGGCGCGAAAGCGUGGGGAGCGAACAGGAUUAGAUACCCUGGUAGUCCACGCCGUAAACGAUGAGUAUUAGGUGUUGCCGAGAGGCAGUGCCGCAG